GUGGGUUGUACUAGAAGUCCGCAGGCUGACCGUAAGGAGGCAGCGGCCCAAGGUAUGACUCAUGAUUGGGGUGAAGUCGUAACAAGGUAGCCGUAGGUGAACCUGCAGAAGGAUCA
rnacentral:rRNA from 1 species